GGUUCGAUUCCGGAGAGGGAGCCUGAGAAAUGGCUACCACAUCCAAGGAUGGCAGCAGGCGCGCAAAUUACCCACUCCCAGCUUGGGGAGGUAGUGACGAAAAAUAACAAUGCGGGACUCUAAGAGGCUCCGUAAUUGGAAUGAGUACACCUUAAAUCGUUUAACGAGUAUCAAUUGGAGGGCAAGUCUGGUGCCAGCAGCCGCGGUAAUUCCAGCUCCAAUAGCGUAUAUUAAAGUUGCUGCAGUUAAAAAGCUCGUAGUUGGAUCUGGGGCUUGAGGUCGCUGUCUAUCGUUUCGGCGAUGACGGUGAUGCUCAGCUCUGCUUGCCGGUGACUGUUGCGGUGUUCUUCACUGAGCGCUGUAGCAGCACGGCACGUUUACUUUGAAAAAAUUAGAGUGCUCAAAGCGUGCUUGUCGCUUGAAUAAUGUUGCAUGGAAUAAUGGAAUAGGACCUCGGUUCUAUUUUGUUGGUUUUCGGAGCUUGAGGUAAUGAUUAAGAGGGACGAACGGGGGCAUUCGUAUUGCGGUGUUAGAGGUGAAAUUCUUGGAUCGCCGCAAGACGGACUACUGCGAAAGCAUUUGCCAAGAACGCUUUCAUUAAUUAAGAACGAAAGUCAGAGGUUCGAAGACGAUCAGACACCGUCCUAGUUCUGACCAUAAACGAUGCCGACCAGCGAUCCGUAGUGGUUGCUUUAUGGACCCUACGGGCAGCCUCCGGGAAACCAAAGUAUUUGGGUUCCGGGGGAAGUAUGGUUGCAAAGCUGAAACUUAAAGGAAUUGACGGAAGGGCACACCAGGAGUGGAGCCUGCGGCUUAAUUUGACCCAACACGGGAAAACUCACCCGGUCCGGACACCGUAAGGAUUGACAGACUGAUAGCUCUUUCUUGAUUCGGUGGAUGGUGGUGCAUGGCCGUUCUUAGUUGGUGGAGUGAUUUGUGGUUAAUUCCGAUAACGAACGAGACUCUAGCCUGCUAAGUAGUGUUGCUAUUGUUAUAUGGUUGACACUUCUUAGAGGGACAAGUGGCAUUUAGCCACGCGAAAUUGAGCAAUAACAGGUCUGUGAUGCCCUUAGAUGUCCGGGGCCGCACGCGCGCUACACUGGAGAAGUCAGCGUGUGUUAUCCAAGUCCGAAAGGACUGGGUAAUCCGUUGAACCUUCUUCGUGCUUGGGACUGUGGCUUGGAACUAUUCCACAUGAACGAGGAAUUCCUAGUAAUUGCAAGUCAUAAGCUUGCGUUGAUUACGUCCCUGCCCUUUGUACACACCGCCCGUCGCUACUACCGAUUGAAUGGUUUAGCAAGGUCCUCGGAUCGUGGCCGUAGGGGCACGCAAGUGUUUCUGCGGUUUGCGAGAAGACGACCAAACUUGAUCAUUUAGAGGAAGUAAAAGUCGUAACAAGGUU
rnacentral:rRNA from 1 species